CUGGCGGCGUGCUACCAUGCAAGUCUAACGGGAAAGUCGGCUUCGGCUGGCAAGUACCGUGGCGAACGGGUGAGUAACACGUGGGUAAUCUAACCUCGAGUUUGGGAUAACCUUGCGAAAGCAGGGCUAAUACCGAAUAAGACCACGCUCUGUCCGCAGAGUGCGGUAAAAGGUGGCCUCUUCUUGAAGGCUAUCACUUGAGGAUGAGCCCGCGGCCUAUUAGCUAGUUGGUGGGGUAAUGGCCUACCAAGGCAACGAUGGGUAGCCGGCCUGAGAGGGUGUACGGCCACACUGGCACUGAGAUACGGGCCAGACUCCUACGGGAGGCAGCAGUGGGGAAUUUUGCGCAAUGGGGGAAACCCUGACGCAGCAACGCCGCGUGAGUGAUGAAGGCCUUCGGGUCGUAAAGCUCUUUUAGUGGGGAAGAAUCCCACCCGGGCAAAUACCUCGGGUGUCUGACGGUACCCACAGAAAAAGUUCCGGCUAACUACGUGCCAGCAGCCGCGGUAAUACGUAGGGAGCAAGCGUUGUUCGGAAUUAUUGGGCGUAAAGAGCGCGUAGGCGGUUCGGUAAGUCUGAUGUGAAAUCCCGGAGCUUAACUCCGGAACUGCAUUGGAUACUGCCGAGCUUGAGUGUGGGAGAGGAGAGUGGAAUUCCCAGUGUAGAGGUGAAAUUCGUAGAUAUUGGGAGGAACACCCGUGGCGAAGGCGGCUCUCUGGACCACAACUGACGCUGAGGCGCGAAAGCUAGGGU
rnacentral:rRNA from 1 species